CUCCAAUAGCGUAUAUUAAAGUUGUUGCAGUUAAAAAGCCCGUAGUUGAACUUCAGACCUGGUGGGGUGGUCCGCUUAACGGCGUGUACUGCUCUGCUGGGCCUUACCUCCUGGUGAGCCGGCGUGGUCUUCACUGAUUGCGUCGGGGAACCAGGACUUUUACCUUGAGAAAAUUAGAGUGUUCAAAGCAGGCCUAUGCCUGAAUACAUUAGCAUGGAAUAAUAAAAUAGGACGUGCGGUUCUAUUUUGUUGGUUUCUAGAGUCGCCGUAAUGAUUAAUAGGGAUAGUUGGGGGCAUUGGUAUUGAGUCGCUAGAGGUGAAAUUCUUGGAUUGACUCAAGACCGACUACUGCGAAAGCAUUUGCCAAGGAUGUUUUCAUUAAUCAAGGACGAAGGUUAGGGGAUCGAAAACGAUCAGAUACCGUUGUAGUCUUAACAG
rnacentral:rRNA from 1 species